UCUCGAUUCGUCUAGUGGUUAGGAUACCUGCUUGUCAUUCUCUUAGUCUGUAUGUACGCAGGUGGCCGGGGUUCAAUUCCCCGAUCGAGAG